UGGGGAAUAUUGGACAAUGGGCGCAAGCCUGAUCCAGCCAUGCCGCGUGAGUGAUGAAGGCCCUAGGGUUGUAAAGCUCUUUCACCGGUGAAGAUAAUGACGGUAACCGGAGAAGAAGCCCCGGCUAACUUCGUGCCAGCAGCCGCGGUAAUACGAAGGGGGCUAGCGUUGUUCGGAUUUACUGGGCGUAAAGCGCACGUAGGCGGACUUUUAAGUCAGGGGUGAAAUCCCGGGGCUCAACCCCGGAACUGCCUUUGAUACUGGAAGUCUUGAGUAUGGUAGAGGUGAGUAGAAUUCCGAGUGUAGAGGUGAAAUUCGUAGAUAUUCGGAGGAACACCAGUGGCGAAGGCGGCUCACUGGACCAUUACUGACGCUGAGGUGCGAAAGCGUGGGGAGCAAACAGG
rnacentral:rRNA from 1 species